rnacentral:lncRNA from 1 species
GGGAGUAUAGAGAAAGAGAGAAAGAAAAAGAACGUCAAUAUGAAAAAGAGAAGGAGAAGGACAGAGAACGCAAACGAAGAAAGGAAAUACUUUAUGAUGAAGAGGAUGAUGAUGGGGAUUCUAGGAAGAGGUGGCGUAGAAAUGCGAUAGAGGAGAAGAGAAAUAAGAGGCUGCGAGAAAAGGAAGAUGACCUGGCUGACAAACAAAAAGAAGAGGAGGAAAUUGCCGAGGCCAAGAAGAGAACUGAGGAGGAUCAACAACUGAAGCGGCAGAGAGAUGCAUUGAAGCUGUUGACAGAGCAUAUUGUAAAUGGC